rnacentral:lncRNA from 1 species
ACUACCGAAGAGAUUACUCUUAAUAUGGGUGUCGACCUCUCGUCUCUACUUCUUCGAGAUUAGACAGGAUACUCACUGGGUAUAUAUUGCUUAUGUACUCAUACUACACUUCUGUACUUAAAUGUAUAGAUUCUGAGGCUGGUGGAUUUGGUUAUCAUUCCGGUGCGUAUCCGUGAGUGGACUUGGGACUUCUACGAUGAGCUGCUUUCCC